CUGUCCGAGGGGCGCUGCAGCAGGGCGAAAGCCUGUUUGAAUCUCGCAAGCCACGCGCCCCGAUGUCGCGCCGCAGCGGAUUCAGAUCAGGUCCACCUGUCAGGCUCGGAUGGGGCGUUUCCUAAAACGCAUCAACGGCGCCCAUUCGCA
rnacentral:ncRNA from 2 species